rnacentral:tRNA from 1 species
GUGGCUGUAGCUCAGUUGGUUAGAGCAUCGGAUUGUGGUUCCGAGGGUCGGGGGUUCAAAUCCCCUCAGCCACC